CUUGUUUUUGAAAUCUUAUAUAUCCUUAUUAACUUCAGUCUAUUUGAAUGUAAUUCGUGCAUUACUGCUAGUCAACACGAAUAAUAUAUA
rnacentral:ncRNA from 1 species